GCCUGGGUGGCUCAGUCGGUUGAGCGUCCGACUUCAGCUCAGGUCAUGAUCUCACAGCUCGUGGGUUCGAGCCCCGCAUCGGGCU
rnacentral:tRNA from 1 species